UCCCUGGUGGCUUAGAUGGCAAAGCAUCUGUCUACAAUGCAGGAGACCCGGGUUCGAUUCCUGGGUCGGGAU
rnacentral:tRNA from 1 species